rnacentral:rRNA from 1 species
GGGACACAAUCCUGAGGCGUGAUGACGAGCUCUCUUUUGAGCGAAGUGGUUGAUGCCAUACUUCCAGGAAAAUCUUCUAAGCUUCAGGUAAUAAGAGACCGUACCCCAAACCGACACAGGUGGGUGGGAUGAAAAUUCUAAGGCGCUUGAGAGAACUCUGGUGAAGGAAC